AGAUAUGCACACUGUCAGAUGUCAGAUUGCUGUGGCUGAAAGCUGACUAGCUAUAAACCAGCCCCAGUUUGCAAGAUGAGUUGCUUAAUUAGCAUGGUGCUGGUUCCUGGGCUAACAGCUCCUAAGCUUGGGCUCAGUGCCAUGGCACUGUGGCUCUCCAGUUCUGCAUGCAGAGUAGACAUGUCCAUCUCUGUGGACAAGCUACUUGUGUGCUUAAAUAAUCUCCUAACAGAAAUGCUGAUAACAUUUUUUGCCUUUGCCUGUUACCCUACCACACAUUUUGCUUUGAUCCUGAACCCAGGCAGGUGACUUCACAUUUCCCUGCUGUGGAAGUCUGCUUUCUCAGCAGGGAAGCCUCACAGCUCCACUGUGCACAUGGAUUAGUGAUGGUUUGGGUAAGGUGUGCAAGAAGGAGAUAUUCUCUGCAGUGGGAGCAGGGAGUAUUUUAUUCCAGGUACUGCUCAUUUAUGGGUCAGUUUCUCAAAUGAAGGUAGUAAGCGAGCUGCAAACAGGAAUUCCAGAGAGUGUUCAAUCGGGUACAAGCAAUUUGUGUGGAGACACAUAUACAUAGGGGGGAAAAAAAGACUUUUAAAGUUCUUGUGGAUGGGAAGACAGACAGCUUUCUCCAUUUUGCUCACAGCAUCAGCAGCAGAAGAAAACUCCUCCCAGCGCCGGGGCUCAGCAGCACAGCGCAGGGAGGCCGCGGGAGGCGGCCGCGGCAUCCCAGACACUGCUGCUCAUCACCCCGGGGCUGCCUGGAGCUUCCCGCUCCCAGCUAAAAACCAAGGGACUUGCCUGUCAAGCAGUCUUCAUCGAAGAGAAUUCAGCAUUCUACAGGCUCGGAGCAAUAGAAAAUAAGAGAGCUGAGAAACUCCCGGCGGCAGUAGUGGCUCGUUGGUCAGGAUAUCCCAGCUGUGCUCUCUCCUGCCCGGUAAAUGAUGGGCCCUGUAAGGCAUUGCGGGUCCCGGCUCUCCUGCUUCAGCUCUGCCGCUUGCAGCAGUCGCUGCAUCCACAGCUCCCCACCUGAGGGCAAAGUGGGACUGCUGGAGACAAUCAUUGGAUUCUCAGCAUUUUCACUGGCAAUUCUUGGACCAGCUGGAUGGUUCAUGUGCCACCUUUCAAGCUAUAAAAAGAAAUAGAAAACAUCCCUUCAGAACUGAGAUGUAAAGGCUACAAUAAACUGUAAUACUCCAAACUUGGACAGUCUUGAAAGUCCCCAUUCCCACACUGCCACCCACCCCAUGGACCAGGUCCCAGAAAGCUUUUGCAGGUACUGGACCCAGAUGUACAGUGGUGUAAUGAUACAAAAUAGUGGCAGGUCUGCUCUGCCAUCUGCUGCUGCCUUGGACCAGUCUGGAUCUGCCAUCAGCUCCUGUGAGAAGUGGAAGAGCGAUGAGGAGGAGGACUGUAAACAUGCUCCUUGCAGUCUGGCUGUUGAAAACCACGCCUGUCAUACUGAUUGCUGUUUGACCUUGUGUUUUAGACAAGUAGAACAUCUGUGUCUAGGAAACGUAGCCCUGUGGUAGACUGAGAGGCACCCUAUCAACCAUGCUUGAGAAUCCUGCCCUCCUGUGGGCAUGAUUGAAGCACAGUGGUAAAUUAUACUUGUGUGAAUCCCUGAAAUACAGAAAAAGCAGCAGGCUGGCUGGUCCUCCACUGUGGACCAAGCUUUGCAGUGUUCCCAUUUGUGUGCCUUUCCUGUCUGCUGCUUUGGUGAUCCCCGGUUGGUGAGGUUACAAAAAUGAGUUUGCCCUUUACCUUUCAUCCAUGGUUUUGUCAUUGUUCCUGUAUCCUUUCUGCACCAGCACAUACAGGUAGCAUCAAAAGUUUAAAGUAAAUAAAUGGGAAAAAAUCACAGAAAAAAAAUUUUGUAGUCAUCUCAGACUAAGCAUCUAAGAAUUUAGGACAGUUUUCUUGAGAGUUUCUCUUUAAUCUUUACAUGUGUUCUUUUGGUGUGUUCCUCUUCCACCAGGAUAAAUGUUUUUCUUCAGGUCAUGACUGUCAGGUAUUUAAAUUUAUUUUCACUUUUUAGAUUAAGAUUUUUGAGAGAUUUUCCCAUGAUUGCUAUUUGCAAUUACUAUGAUAAAUACUUUGAAGUCAGACUAAAUUUGAGAAAAGUGCAGUAAAUAACACUUGUUAUGCCACAUUACAUGUGUAAUAAAAGAAUGUCUUCCCAUAAUUUCAAGUCUGUCUUGCAAGAAAAUACAGAAUAUGAACCUUUUGUGAUGCUUAAGUAUUAGCAGAAUACAAUUUAAAAUUCCAUUAAGUCAUUUGUAAUAUCUGAAGACAUAUUCUGAAAGUAAGGCUGUGAAUGUGUGAAAGUAUUGUACUUGCUGUACUUCCAAAGUAUGAUUUGAGAUAAAUGGUUUGAGUUCCCUUCAGCCUUGUAACCAUGAAGUUUUCAGAGUGAGAAUGGAAACAUUCAUCCUGAGUGAUUAAAGAAAGUCAUACUGACUUAUUUUUUUCCAAGAAAUUAUAGCUUUUUCACUUAGUUGAACAGUCUGAUGUGAAAGCCCCGUUGUGUAUGUGGAAAGUUUCCCACAGAUUUGAAUGAAUGUUGGAUAUGUGCCUGCAUUCCUGGAAUCCAGAGAAAAAGCAAUGCCAGGAACUGGAAGGCACUUGGGCAGGCAAUCUGAAGCCUUGCUCCUGCACACUGGGAGUGCAUCCUUUGGAAUAAUAAGGCUAUUUUGCAGAAUAUUUUGUAAAAAUCAGCUUUGAACAUUUCAGUGUAUCUGCUUGUCCUGUAUCUGAUUUCAUCCUUCUCUCACCUAGUAAUGCUUAAAUAAAUCAAUAAGAUAUUGCAUUUCA